GACGAACGCUGGCGGCGUGCUUAACACAUGCAAGUCGAACGCGAAAACCCUUCGGGGUGAGUAGAGUGGCGAACGGGUGAGUAACACGUGGGCAACCUGCCCCAAGGAGCGGGACAACCCGGGGAAACUCGGGCUAAUACCGCAUGAUUCGCCGGCACUCAAGUGCCGGCGGCAAAUGGUAGCUUCGGCCUCCGCCUUGGGAUGGGCCCGCGGCGCAUUAGCUUGUUGGUGAGGUAACGGCUCACCAAGGCGACGAUGCGUAGCUGGGCUGAGAGGACGAUCAGCCACACUGGGACUGAGACACGGCCCAGACUCCUACGGGAGGCAGCAGUGGGGAAUCUUGCGCAAUGGCGGAAGCCUGACGCAGCAACGCCGCGUGUGGGAAGACGGCCCUCGGGUUGUAAACCACUUUCAGGGGGAACGAAGCUUCCAGGGUUAAUAGCCCAUGGGGUGACGGUACCCCCAGAAGAAGCCCCGGCUAACUACGUGCCAGCCGCCGCAGUAAAAC
rnacentral:rRNA from 1 species